rnacentral:rRNA from 1 species
AGUGGCGAACGGGUGAGUAACACGUGACCAACCUGUCCUAGGGUGAGGGACAACCCGGGGAAACCUGGGCUAAUACCGCAUGACGUCACACUUCCGCAUGGUCGUGUGAUCAAAGGGGGCCUCUGCUUGCAUGCCCCCGCCCAAGGAGGGGGUCGCGACGUAUCAGCUUGUUGGUGGGGUAACGGCCCACCAAGGCUACGACGCGUAGCGGAUCUGAGAGGAUGAUCCGUCACAUUGGGACUGAGAUACGGCCCAGACUCCUACGGGAGGCAGCAGUAGGGAAUAUUGCGCAAUGGGCGAAAGCCUGACGCAGCGACGCCGCGUGUGGGAGGAAGCCUUUCGGGGUGUAAACCACUGUCAGAGGGGAAGAACCGCGCCAUGUCGAACAGGCCUGGCGUCUGACGGUACCCUCAGAGGAAGCGCCGGCUAACUCCGUGCCAGCAGCCGCGGUAAGACGGAGGGCGCAAGCGU